UCCUUGAGGGCUUGCCACCGUUUGUUUUUUUUUUCGCGGGGGUGACAAGCCCGUGGGGUAGAGAAGGUGGAGGGCAGGGUUUGAGGUGGUAGGGUGGAAGGGCGGCGGUCCUCAGCCGCUGGUGGUGGUUGGGUGGAGGGGGCGGAGGCCCUAGGUCGGUGCUUAGGUGACGGGGCAGCAGCCCUAGGUCGGCGGUUAGGUGGAGCAACGGCAGCCCUAGGACGACGACGUGUUGGCGGUGGUUGGGUUGGAGGGUAGCGACCCUAGGACGGCAGCGCGCUGUUGGUGGUUGAGUGGCGGCCGCAGCGGCCUUAAGCGGGGAGUCGUCGGAAGGAGGAGACGACGGCGCUGGAAGGUGGAGACGGUGACGCCGGAAGAAGGUAGUGCGCGGAGGGGUCUAGCCGCUACGCUACGUGCAAGGGGGUGGCCACUGGGAGGGAACUCAAGUGAGAGAAGAGAGGUAGCGGCCGGAUUCUCGAUGGGUGCGGUGGGGCGCGACGGUGGAACGAGGAGGGCCAGCUGGAGGACCUAAGCCGCGAGUCGUCACGGUGGCGCGUGGUGUGAUCAGUCGUAAUCGCGGGAGAAGGAGGUACUACAACGACGGGAGAAGGAGGUACGACGACGACGGAAGCUGAGCCGGGGGCGUGAGGUAGCGGAGGAGUAACUCGGCGGGAGAGGAAGUUGACCGUCACGUGUGUUCGACAAACACAUAUACGGAGUUUGUGUUUUUCACACAAAAGAAAAAGUACCUGUUUAGUUACGUCGCAGUACCUGAGUAGAAGAUAUCGUGUAUUCAUCCGCACGUACGGUCUAACCAAGGAAGGUGACGGAUCGACUACAACAAACAUGGGUCUGAUGGGUAUCACGGAUUACUUCGAAGUUCUGGCGUUUAUCUACUCGGGUACCUCUUUGUUGUAGGAACACAUAGAACUCGACGACGUAGUGAACUACCUUGCUCUAUACCACAGCCCUUGUGUCGUCCUAAUCGUUCAUUAAAGCUCUCAUUAGAACAUACGCGGGAUCCGAGUCAAAUGCGGCGCUAUUUAACAAAAGUUGUACAUUAUGUAAACAAUAUAAGUACUCGGCAACUCUUGUGUUACGACUCAACGGUUCUCUUGGUUUUUUUCAC
rnacentral:rRNA from 1 species